rfam:Oesophagostomum dentatum strain OD-Hann O_dentatum-1.0_Cont1842.2, whole genome shotgun sequence.
GGUUUUAACCCAGUAUCACAAGGUACUAAGGGUGUCUGACCUACCUUAGGGUUGUGUCACAAACCUUAAUUUUUGGAUCGCCUUCUCGGGGUAUCCGGGAGGGCAAC